CAACCACGAAGCCACGCCGGUAUACCGGU
rnacentral:sRNA from 1 species